AUUGAACGCUGGCGGCAAGCCUAACACAUGCAAGUCGAACGAGUGGCGGACGGGUGAGUAAUGUCUGGGAAACUGCCUGGUGGAGGGGGAUAACUACUGGAAACGGUAGCUAAUACCGCAUACCAGCGGAUGUGCCCAGAUGGGAUGAGCUAGUAGGUGGGGUAAAGGCUCACGUAGGCGACGAUCCCUAGCUGGUGUGAGAGGAUGACCAGCCACACUGGAACUGGGAGACGGACCAGACUCCCACGGGAGGCAGCAGUGGGGAAUAUUGCACAAUGGGCGCAAGCCUGAGGCAGCCAUGCCGCGUGUAUGAAGAAGGCCUUCGGGUUGUAAAGUACUGUCAGCGGGGAGGCGUUACCCGCAGAAGAAGCACCGGCUAACUCCGUGCCAGCCGCCGCGGUAAUAC
rnacentral:rRNA from 1 species